GGAGUUAUAGCUCAGUUGGUUAGAGCGCUGCCCUGUCACGGCAGAGGUCGCGAGUUCGAACCUCGUUAACUCCGCCA
rnacentral:tRNA from 1 species